rnacentral:rRNA from 1 species
CGAUCGUAUAAGAGUUUGAUCCAGUGCUCAGGACGAACGCUUGCGACGUGCCUAAGAAAUGCAAGUCGAACGGGGGAGCAAUCCCUAGUGGCGAACGGUCGCGUAACACGUGGGCAACCUGCCCUGAAGCGGGGGACAACGUUCCGAAAGGGACGCUAAUACCGCAUGUGUAUGAGAAUGGCAUCCUUCCACAUACAAAGCAGCAAUGCACUUCGGGAUGGGCCCGCGGCCUAUCAGCUAGUUGGUGAGGUAACGGCCCACCAAGGCUUCGACGGGUAGCUGGUCUGAGAGGACGAUCAGCCGGAUUGGGACUGAGAUACGGCCCAGACUCCUACGGGGGGCAGCAAUUAGGAAUCUUGCACAAUGGGCGAAAGCCUGAUGCAGCGACGUCGCGUGGAGGAUGAAAUCUUUCGGGAUGUAAACUCCUUUUUCCAGGGAAGAAACAAAUGACGGUACCUGGAGAAUAAGCCCCGGCUAACUACGUGCCAGCAGCCGCGGUAAU